UGUGAAUUGGUCGAGGUAUGGUUCGUAUUUUGGCGAGAAGUAGUGAAGCCAAAAUACCCAUGGCGAGAUCAAACGAACUUGAUACGCCGCCGAACAAAGGUACGAUUAGAUAUUUACCGUGCCCGAAUUCGGCCAAGUGAGCAUGAUACCGUAACCAUAUCAGGUCAGUGACUUGAUAUCGCAGAAUAUCAGGGCAGUACACACGGCUCCGUACGGUAAGUAAUUAUAAAUCCGGCCUCUCGUAGACUGUAAUGACACAUUGUCAAGUUGUGUUUAGUUAAUAAUAAUCUAAAUGUUCAUUUAACAAUUCUCGUGUCAUCGUCAUGUUUUCUUGUGUCAUUCAACUUCUAAAUUCGUUAAAAAUGGGUCAACGUUAACUAUCGUAACUGAACAGGAACUGGCAAGGAAUGGCAACAACCUAACCAAGCAACCAACCAACCAAACAGAGUUCACGAUGACGAAGACACCAUCCUUCAUAUUAACGGAUUUUGUUUUGUAAGUGUUGUGUUGAAUCGAUCGAAACACUCGAAGCAAGGCCUGAUUUCGCCGGGCAAAGCCGCGCUUCUGAAAGCGCCGUGGCGCUAUGACCAUAAUCAGAGCUAUUUGGCAGGGAAGUGCUGCGCAAACAAUAGUUUUUGUCUGCGCUGUACUGUCGUCAGCCGUUAUAUGCCCAGCUCUAGGUAGCUAUCGUGAUCACGUGAUCACAGUUCUCAUAGCGUUGGGGGCCGCGUGUAUGGCGGGUGACGCCGUAUUCCAUCUCCUACCUCAUGUAAGUAGCUUCCUUUGUGUCUCUAGAAUGAUUUGAAGUCGCCUUUUCUCGAGUGAAAAGUAUAUUCUAUAUAAAAGUCAGAUAAAUGCUCAAAUAAAUUAUCUUUUAUCCAAUUAAUAGUGAAAGGUUUACUUCACCGUCCUUUACAUCUAACGUGAACACGAAACGAAAAAAAUAUGAUCUAAUUGAAUGUGAUUUUGGCUGGUGAGCCCAAAGUACAGCCCAGUUGGUAUUGAUUUAUCAAGUUGCAAAAAUCUCGUCUCUAAUUGAGAAACUUCAAGACUUGAAACUUCAAACCAGGAGUUCCCUAUCCACGUUUGAAAUUUCAUCCGUGACCAUUUAUUGGAAACGUUUUGUCAAUUCGAUAA